rnacentral:tRNA from 1 species
GCCGGUAUAGCUCAGCUGGUAGAGCAACUGACUUGUAAUCAGUAGGUCCUCGGUUCAAAUCCGGGUACCGGCUCCA